rnacentral:rRNA from 1 species
UGGGGAAUAUUGGACAAUGGGCGAAAGCCUGAUCCAGCAAUGCCGCGUGUGUGAAGAAGGCCUUCGGGUUGUAAAGCACUUUAAGUUGGGAAGAAAAAGCUCUGGCUAAUAUCUAGAGCCUUGACGGUACCAACAGAAUAAGCACCGGCUAACUCUGUGCCAGCAGCCGCGGUAAUACAGAGGGUGCUAGCGUUAAUCGGAUUUACUGGGCGUAAAGCGUGCGUAGGCGGUUUGAUAAGUCGAUUGUGAAAGCCCCGGGCUUAACCUGGGAAUUGCAGUUGAUACUGUCAGACUAGAAAACGGUAGAGGGAGGCGGAACUCCAGGUGUAGCGGUGAAAUGCGUAGAUAUCUGGAAGAACACCGAUGGCGAAGGCAACCUCCUGGGCCUGUUUUGACGCUGAGGCACGAAAGCGUGGGUAGCAAACAGGAUUAGAUACCCUGGUAGUCCACGCCGUAAAACGAUGAGAAC